AUUGAACGCUGGCGGCAGGCCUAACACAUGCAAGUCGAGCGAGCGGCGGACGGGUGAGUAAUGUAUGGGGACUGCCCGAUGGGGGGGGAUAACUACUGGAAAAGGUAGCUAAUACCGCAUACAAUAGGAUAGCCCAGAUGGGAUUAGCUAGUAGGUGAGGUAAUGGCUCACCUAGGCGACGAUCCCUAGAUGGUCUGAGAGGAUGAGCAGCCACACUGGGACUGAGACACGGCCCAGACUCCUACGGAGGCAGCAGUGGGGAAUAUUGCACAAUGGGCGCAAGCCUGAUGCAGCCAUGCCGCGUGUAUGAAGAAGGCCUUAGGGUUGUAAAGUACUUUCAGGCGGGAGGCGUUACCGACAGAAGAAGCACCGGCUAACUCCGUGCCAGCAGCCGCGGUAAUAC
rnacentral:rRNA from 1 species